CAAUAGCGUAUAUUUAAGUUGUUGCAGUUAAAAAGCUCGUAGUUGGAUUUCGGGUAGGAUUUGCCGGUCCGUCUUUGAGAUGUGUACUGGUAAGUCCUAUCUUCUUGUCGGGGACCAGCUCCUGGGCUUCACUGUCCGGGACUGGGAGCCGACGAAGUUACUUUGAGUAAAUUAGAGUGUUCAAAGCAAGCCUACGCUCUGAAUAUAUUAGCAUGGAAUAACACGAUAGGACUCUGGCUUAUCUUGUUGGUCUGUGAGACCAGAGUAAUGAUUAAGAGGGACAGUCGGGGACAUUCGUAUUUCAUUGUCAGAGGUGAAAUUUUUGGAUUUAUGAAAGACGAACUUCUGCGAAAGCAUUUGUCAAGGAUGUUUUCAUUAA
rnacentral:rRNA from 1 species